rnacentral:rRNA from 1 species
GGGAAUUUUGCGCAAUGGGGGAAACCCUGACGCAGCAACGCCGCGUGGAGGAUGAAAUCCCUUGGGAUGUAAACUCCUUUCGAUCGGGACGAUAAUGACGGUACCGGAAGAAGAAGCCCCGGCUAACUUCGUGCCAGCAGCCGCGGUAAUACGAGGGGGGCAAGCGUUGUUCGGAAUUAUUGGGCGUAAAGGGUGUGUAGGCGGUUUGGUAAGUUGUAUGUGAAAUCUUCGGGCUCAACCCGAAGUCUGCAUACAAAACUGCCGGGCUUGAGUAUGGGAGAGGUGAGUGGAAUUCCUGGUGUAGCGGUGAAAUGCGUAGAUAUCAGGAGGAACACCUGUGGCGAAAGCGGCUCACUGGACCAUUACUGACGCUGAAACACGAAAGCUAGGGGAGCAAA